rnacentral:rRNA from 1 species
GCUCUGAAUAUCUAUGGCUAGAUAAAGUACAAGUCGUAACAAGGUUUCAGUUGGAGAACCAGCUG